rnacentral:snoRNA from 1 species
UCCAGCUGUAGGCAGCUGCCUAGGUUGCCUUGUACCUAGGCAAGUGUUACACUGCUGGGAGAACAGCAGCCCAUAGCUGGUUAGCAUUCUGGGCUUGGUUUAUGCCAACUCUGUGUUAACUAU